AGUGAACGCUGGCGGUAGGCCUAACACAUGCAAGUCGAACGGCAGCACAGUAAGAGCUUGCUCUUACGGGUGGCGAGUGGCGGACGGGUGAGGAAUACAUCGGAAUCUACUUUUUCGUGGGGGAUAACGUAGGGAAACUUACGCUAAUACCGCAUACGACCUACGGGUGAAAGCAGGGGAUCUUCGGACCUUGCGCGAUUGAAUGAGCCGAUGUCGGAUUAGCUAGUUGGCGGGGUAAAGGCCCACCAAGGCGACGAUCCGUAGCUGGUCUGAGAGGAUGAUCAGCCACACUGGACCUGAGACACGGUCCAGACUCCUACGGGAGGCAGCAGUGGGGAAUGUUGGACAAUGGGCGCAAGCCUGAUCCAGCCAUACCGCGUGGGUGAAGAAGGCCUUCGGGUUGUAAAGCCCUUUUGUUGGGAAAGAAAAGCAGCAGGUUAAGACCCCGCUGUUCUGACGGUACCCAAAGAAUAAGCACCGGCUAACUUCGU
rnacentral:rRNA from 1 species